AAAUCCUUGGUGUGUCAUCGAGGAUAAUGUAAAGGAAAAUAAUGAUAUUACUUUACUAUUAGUGUCGUCCAAAUACUCGUGCCAGAAGACUCGGUAAGGCGAGAGACGCAAACGUUAAUCGUCUUGAUCAGGCGUAAAGGGUUUGUAGGCUGUUUUAAGUGCCCUAAUUUAUUAAGGCCAAUUAAAGCUAGAAUCUAAUGGAGGUUAAAACAAUGCUUAAGGUAGGAGUACUAACCGUAAAUAUUAAGUAGAGUGUUAACGGCGAAGGCAUUUAUCCACUAAAGAUUGACGCUGAGAAACGAAGGUGAGGGCAGAAAAAAGGAUUAGAGACCCUUGUAUUCCUCACUGUCAACGAUGAAUGGUAGUCAAUAAUUAGAAAUAAGUUAUAGGCGAUGUAAACACGUAAACCAUUCCGCCUUGUGAGUACAACUGCAAAGUUGAAAACAAAAAAAUUAGUCGGUUUCG
rnacentral:rRNA from 1 species